rnacentral:rRNA from 1 species
UACGUAGGGGGCAAGCGUUGUCCGGAUUUACUGGGCGUAAAGCGCGUGUAGGCGGCCACGCAGGUCCGUUGUGAAAACUAGAGGCCCAACCUCUAGACGUCGACGGAAACCGUGUGGCUAGAGUCCGGAAGAGGAGAGUGGAAUUCCUGGUGUAGCGGUGAAAUGCGCAGAUAUCAGGAAGAACACCAAUGGCGAAGGCAGCUCUCUGGGACGGUACUGACGCUGAGACGCGAAAGCGUGGGGAGCGAACAGG